GAUAAUGGUAUCGGUACAGCCUCGUGCGCCGUGUUUCGAGGAGCUGUCAGAAUCGUCCAGGGGCAAAUGGCGGCGGUCGCCAGGCAGGGUGAGGUAGCGAUUUUUAGUCCGGGGCGUGCCUACAAACUAACGUGUACGUCCGGCGUGGAGGCCACUUUCUACUUGACCCUUCCCUCCGGCUGCCAGCUACCGGCGUUAUUGGACCUCCAACCUGGCGAGCCGCAAUAUUCGCGUCCUAUUAUGGGAAUCGGGCCUUUCCGACUGGUGGAGAUGCGCGCCGCGAGGCGGGCGAUCGUCCGUGAGGCCGUCCGUGAGUACAGGCCCUAAACGAUGAUAGUCAGGGGUGUAGUGUGGGGACCUAUCCAGGCGG
rnacentral:misc_RNA from 1 species